rnacentral:lncRNA from 1 species
AGCAGGCAGAGAGGUGAGCCCAUGGGGUGUGUAGGAAGCCUUGCUGAGGCCCGUUUCCCACGGCUCUCAGAGCUGCCUCUGCUGGCCUGCCUCUGUUCUGUCACCUUCCCUGGGCCAUGCAGGGUGGCUAGUGACAGAAGAGAAAGCUGAGCACAGCGGGCAAGCUCUCCUGCAAAGUGAGGAAGUGGCCUGGGACUCCCAAAGUCAGCCGCCUUCCCACUCCUCGGUGGCAUCUCCUGGGGUGAAGGACACCCACAGACUGAGCGAGGGGAGCUUUUUCUUUGUAACGCAACACCAUUUUUUGGUUAAGAUUGAUUUCUCUUGAAUAUUUCUUAUUCGAGCUAAUGCUGAUGCCUGGCAAAGCGACAACCUCAGAUUCUUUAAGAUGGGAUGAAGGCUGAGGGGCUGAGGCAGGUGUUGUAGGGAAAUGAGCCUGAGAAGGUCAGGCAAGUGCUUCAAAACAUCAAAUCCUGUAGAUUUCAAAGUGGGUUUUUUCAUUUUUUUUUUAAAGAUUUUAUUUAUUUGUCAGAGAGAGAGAGGGAGAGAGAGCGAGCACAGGCAGACAGAAUGGCAGGCAGAGGCAGAGGGAGAAGCAGGCUCCCUGCCGAGCAAGGAGCCCGAUGUGGGACUCGAUCCCAGGAUGCUGGGAUCAUGACCUGAGCCAAAGGCAGCUGCUUAACCAACUGAGCCACCCAGGCAUCCCACAUUUUUUUUUUUUUUUAACAAAAAGAACUCUUCUUUCAAGCAAAUUCUUAAAUUAAUGGCCAAAUUUCAAAAUGAAUAAAAGACAGCACUGCUCUUUCUGGAGCAGGGGGCGGGGGGGAGCAGAGCAGGAGCAGGACAGUGCCUGCCCCUACUCCCCACUCACACUCAGGCGUUCCCACCACAGAUGGCACCAGGCCUUAGCAUCAGGAAGGAUGGGAUCCGUGGGCAGGGCUCAGGAAUUGGGCAGACCCCCCAGUUCCGCCACCUUCUUCCUAGUGGGUGGCCCAGUGAAAUCAAGCGACUUCCCUGUGCCUCAGCUUCGUCACCUGCAACACGCGGACAACAGACGGCGCUGCUGUGAAGAUCUAACCACUGACGCUCAUCAGGUUUGCUGCAGGAGAGCUGAGAGGAGGCAAGGCCAAGUCGCCAGAGUGCCUGGGCGUGAUGCCAUCACCCCGCCAGGGAGCCGGAGUGCUGCCGGAUUUCACUCAAGGAUACAAAAGAAAAAAUGGCAAGGGGCUCUGUCCCUUCUGUUGCCCCCCACGGCCUGACAUCUGCACGCCUGCAAGACAUCCUCUUGUCGCUGGAGAGAUACUACUCGGGGAUCACAUGCCCUACACGGGGAAGAAGGAAUCUUGGGCUCUAGUUCAGGAACAUAAAAAUGCACUCUGCUCAUCUGGUUUGUUCAUAAAACUGUGAAUGCCCUAGGGGAAACAGAAAGCUAUUUUCGCAACAUUCCCUAGUUUGGUUGAGAUUAUGUGCGGAGAAAAACAUUCCCAUUUUUGUCAUGGCUACAGAGGUUUGCUUUUCCUGUGUUUUCAUCGUCCGCCCCCCCCACCGCCCCCCGGCCCCGAACAG